rnacentral:tRNA from 1 species
CAUGGGAUGGCUGAUAAUAAGCGGUUGGUUGUAAACCUUUUUAUGGAAAAUUUUUCUUCUGUGA